GAGGAAGAUGAAGGCGGCUGCGCUUAGCCUCGUGAUGCUCCUCGCUGCCCUGUGCCACACAGUGGAAGCUCAGCCACUUGUGCAAGAGCAGCCUGGUGAGGAUCUUCUUCAGGCAUUGCCGUCUGAUGCUGUUGAAUUUCCUCCUCCUGACAAUCUCUUCAGUACAGAGGAGAAUCCCCUGCAUGUGAGACGUGUGGCCCUGGAUCUGCGUGUCUAGGGACAAGGCUUCUCCUCACCGCCAAUGCCCUUGGACAUCUUCUGAUGACCAGUGCUGCCCUCUGAUGACC